UUCCCCCGGGUCUCCCCCUGGAUGGUGGCUCUGGCUGUGAUUGUACCCAUCAUGUUGGUGGUCAUUGUCCUGAGCAUUUUCUACUUCUGCCGUGCAAAAGGACUUCUGCAAUCCAAGCUGGAGAGUGAGAAAGCGGCCCUGAAGUCUGCCCUGGAGAGUGAGAUAGGGACUCUGCAAUCCAAGCUGGAAAGUGAGAAAGAGAGGCGCCGUGCAGACAAAGCGGAGUAUGAAGCAAUGAAA